rnacentral:rRNA from 1 species
GACGAACGCUGGCGGCGUGCUUAACACAUGCAAGUCGAACGGAAAGGCCCUGCUUUUGUGGGGUGCUCGAGUGGCGAACGGGUGAGUAACACGUGAGUAACCUGCACUUGACUGUGGGAUAAGUUCAGGAAAGUGGGGCUAAUACCGGAUAGGAGCUCCUGCUGCUUGGUGGGGGCUGGAAAGUUUCGGCGGUUGGGGAUGGACUCGCGGCGUAUCAGCUUGUUGGUGGGGUAGUGGCUUACCAAGGCUUGGACGGGUAGCCGGCCUGAGAGGGUGACCGGCCACAUUGGGACUGAGAUACGGCCCAGACUCCUACGGGAGGCAGCAGUGGGGAAUAUUGCACAAUGGGCGGAAGCCUGAUGCAGCAACGCCGCGUGCGGGAUGACGGCCUUCGGGUUGUAAACCGCUUUCGCCUGUGACGAAGCGUGAGUGACGGUAAUGGGUAAAGAAGCACCGGCUAACUACGUG